AGCAGCAUGGCUUAGUGGAUAAAGCACGGGCUUGGGAGUCAGAAGGACUGGGUUCUAAUCCUGGUUCUGCCA
rnacentral:tRNA from 1 species